rnacentral:rRNA from 1 species
ACGGAAGGCAGCAGUGGGGAAUAUUGGGCAAUGGGGGGAACCCUGACCCAGCAACGCCGCGUGGAGGAAGAAGGUUUUCGGAUCGUAAACUCCUGUCCUUGGUGAAGAGCAGAAGACGGUAGCCAAGGAGGAAGCCCCGGCUAACUACGUGCCAGCAGCCGCGGUAAUACGUAGGGGGCAAGCGUUGUCCGGAAUGAUUGGGCGUAAAGGGCGCGUAGGCGGCCCGGUAAGUCUGGAGUGAAAGUCCUGCCUUUAAGGUGGGAAUUGCUUUGGAUACUGUCGGGCUUGAGUGCAGGAGAGGUAAGUGGAAUUCCUAGUGUAGCGGUGAAAUGCGUAGAUAUUAGGAGGAACACCAGUGGCGAAGGCGGCUUACUGGACUGUAACUGACGUUGAGGCUCGAAAGCGUGGGGAGCAAACAGGAUUAGAUACCCUGGUA